rnacentral:rRNA from 1 species
UGGGGAAUAUUGGACAAUGGGCGCAAGCCUGAUCCAGCCAUGCCGCGUGUGUGAAGAAGGCCUUUUGGUUGUAAAGCACUUUAAGCGAGGAGGAGGCUACUUGGAUUAAUACUCUAGGAUAGUGGACGUUACUCGCGGAAUAAGCACCGGCUAACUCUGUGCCAGCAGCCGCGGUAAUACAGAGGGUGCGAGCGUUAAUCGGAUUUACUGGGCGUAAAGCGUGCGUAGGCGGCUUUUUAAGUCGGAUGUGAAAUCCCUGAGCUUAACUUAGGAAUUGCAUUCGAUACUGGGAAGCUAGAGUAUGGGAGAGGAUGGUAGAAUUCCAGGUGUAGCGGUGAAAUGCGUAGAGAUCUGGAGGAAUACCGAUGGCGAAGGCAGCCAUCUGGCCUAAUACUGACGCUGAGGUACGAAAGCAUGGGGAGCAAACAGG